GAUCGGUGCUUGCACCGAGAUUCAACAUGGAACGAGUGGCGGACGGGUGAGUAACACGUGGGUAACCUGCCCUUAAGUGGGGGAUAACAUUUGGAAACAGAUGCUAAUACCGCAUAGAUCCAAGAACCGCAUGGUUCUUGGCUGAAAGAUGGCGUAAGCUAUCGCUUUUGGAUGGACCCGCGGCGUAUUAGCUAGUUGGUGAGGUAAUGGCUCACCAAGGCGAUGAUACGUAGCCGAACUGAGAGGUUGAUCGGCCACAUUGGGACUGAGACACGGCCCAAACUCCUACGGGAGGCAGCAGUAGGGAAUCUUCCACAAUGGACGCAAGUCUGAUGGAGCAACGCCGCGUGAGUGAAGAAGGCUUUCGGGUCGUAAAACUCUGUUGUUGGAGAAGAAUGGUCGGCAGAGUAACUGUUGUCGGCGUGACGGUAUCCAACCAGAAAGCCACGGCUAACUACGUGCCAGCAGCCGCGGUAAUACGUAGGUGGCAAGCGUUAUCCGGAUUUAUUGGGCGUAAAGCGAGCGCAGGCGGUUUUUUAAGUCUGAUGUGAAAGCCCUCGGCUUAACCGAGGAAGCGCAUCGGAAACUGGGAAACUUGAGUGCAGAAGAGGACAGUGGAACUCCAUGUGUAGCGGUGAAAUGCGUAGAUAUAUGGAAGARCACCAGUGGCGAAGGCGGCUGUCUGGUCUGUAACUGACGCUGAGGCUCGAAAGCAUGGGUAGCGAACAGGAUUAGAUACCCUGGUAGUCCAUGCCGUAACGAUGAAUGCUAGGUGUUGGAGGGUUUCCGCCCUUCAGUGCCGCAGCUAACGCAUUAAGCAUUCCGCCUGGGGAGUACGACCGCAAGGUUGAAACUCAAAGGAAUUGACGGGGGCCCGCACAAGCGGUGGAGCAUGUGGUUUAAUUCGAAGCAACGCGAAGAACCUUACCAGGUCUUGACAUCUUUUGAUCACCUGAGAGAUCAGGUUUCCCCUUCGGGGGCAAAAUG
rnacentral:rRNA from 2 species